GAUGAACGCUGGCGGCGUGCCUAAUACAUGCAAGUCGAGCGAAGCGGGGACGGGUGAGUAAUACGUCGAUAAAAACCUAUAAGAAUGGGAUAAUUUCGGGAAAACGGAGCUAAACCGGAUAUCUCUAGUUGGUUCCGCGCUGCAUUAGCUAGUUGGUAAGGUAACGGCUUCCCACGGCAACAAUGCAUAGCCGACCUGCGAGGGUGAUCGUCCACACUGGAACUGAGACACGGUCCAGACUCCUACGGGAGGCAGCAGUAGGGAAUCUUCCGCAAUGGGCGAAAGCCUGACGGAGCAACGCCGCGUGAGUGAUGAAGGUCUUCGGAUCGUAAAACUCUGUUAUUAGGGAAGCGGUACCUAAUCAGAAAGCCACGGCUAACUACGUGCCAGCAGCCGCGGUAAUAC
rnacentral:rRNA from 1 species